rnacentral:rRNA from 1 species
CAUGCAAGUCGAGGGGCAGCGGGGAGGAAGCUUGCUUUCUCCGCCGGCGACCGGCGCACGGGUGAGUAACACGUAUGCAACCUGCCCCUGUCAGGGGGACAACCCGCCGAAAGGCGGGCUAAACCCGCGUACAUGCCACCGGGGCAUCCCGGAGGCAGGAAAGGCUUCGGCCGGACAGGGAUGGGCAUGCGGCGCAUUAGGCAGUAGGCGGGGUAACGGCCCACCUAACCGACGAUGCGUAGGGGUUCUGAGAGGAAGGUCCCCCACACUGGUACUGAGACACGGACCAGACUCCUACGGGAGGCAGCAGUGAGGAAUAUUGGUCAAUGGUCGGGAGACUGAACCAGCCAAGCCGCGUGAGGGAGGAAGGUACAGAGUAUCGUAAACCUCUUUUGUCGGGGAACAAAGACUGGGACGCGUCCCCGGAUGAGUGUACCUGAAGAAAAAGCAUCGGCUAACUCCGUGCCAGCAGCCGCGGUAAUACGGAGGAUGCGAGCGUUAUCCGGAUUUAUUGGGUUUAAAGGGUGCGCAGGCGGUCUGUUAAGUCAGCGGUCAAAGCCCGGGGCUCAACCCCGGCCCGCCGUUGAAACUGGCAGUCUCGAGUUGGAGAGAAGUAUGCGGAAUGCGCGGUGUAGCGGUGAAAUGCAUAGAUAUCGCGCAGAACUCCGAUUGCGAAGGCAGCAUGCCGGCUCCACACUGACGCUGAGGCACGAAAGCGUGGGUAUCGAACAGGAUUAGAUACCCUGGUAGUCCACGCAGUAAACGAUGAAUGCUGGCUGUCCGGGGGGACUGACCCCUGGGUGGCGAAGCGAAAGCGAUAAGCAUUCCACCUGGGGAGUACGCCGGCAACGGUGAAACUCAAAGGAAUUGACGGGGGCCCGCACAAGCGGAGGAACAUGUGGUUUAAUUCGAUGAUACGCGAGGAACCUUACCCGGGCUCAAACGGGGAGUGGCGCAGGCAGAGACGCCUGUUUCCCACGGGACACUCCCCGAGGUGCUGCAUGGUUGUCGUCAGCUCGUGCCGUGAGGUGUCGGCUUAAGUGCCAUAACGAGCGCAACCCCCGCGUGCAGUUGCUAACAGUCAACGCUGAGGACUCUGCACGGACUGCCGGCGCAAGCCGCGAGGAAGGCGGGGAUGACGUCAAAUCAGCACGGCCCUUACGUCCGGGGCGACACACGUGUUACAAUGGGUGGUACAGCGGGAAGCCAGGCGGCGACGCCGAGCGGAACCCGAAAUCCACUCUCAGUUCGGAUCGGAGUCUGCAACCCGACUCCGUGAAGCUGGAUUCGCUAGUAAUCGCGCAUCAGCCAUGGCGCGGUGAAUACGUUCCCGGGCCUUGUACACACCGCCCGUCAAGCCAUGGGAGCCGAGGGCGCUUGAAGUGCGUCGCCGCGAGGCGCGCCCUAGAGCGAAAUCGGUGACUGGGGCUAAGUCGUAACAAGGUAGCCG